UUUUGUUUGACAAAGUCUUUUAUUACCCUUGCUCCAAAAGAGUUGCUGUAAUGGAAAGGAGACAAGCAUUGGUCGCCCUUGAGAAUUGCAGUCUGGUGAUUUACACGGAGUAACAGUCUGCUGAGCCAGCAUGCUAGGAAAUGGUGCUGGAAGUUUGUAGGUUGUUUUAAGACAGUCACUGAGAUGGUAACAGACCCUAUUUAAUAUAUUUGGGGGCUGGGCAUGGUGGCUCCUGCCUGUACAAGACUUACCCAAAGCAAGUAAUGAGAACAUAUGAAGCACCAAUUAGUCAAGGAUCCCUAACUCCAUGAAAUCCUUGACUUUCCAGACUUCCCAACAGGAUCAGGACUAGGGUGAGAUGAGUGACGCACUCGGCUCAGGUACAAAAUUUAACAGGUGCCAAUAAACUCAGUAGUAUAAAUAUUUUAGUGCAAUAUUUAAAAUUAUUUAAAAUGUGGAUAUUGUGUCCAUUCUGGAUUCUCACAUUUUUAUUU
rnacentral:lncRNA from 1 species